UAAACCUCUUUCACGUGGCACCGCCUU
rnacentral:piRNA from 1 species